rnacentral:tRNA from 1 species
GGCUCUUUGUUGAGUUGGUUGUGGAAACCGACACUUUUAACACUAAGAUAAAAAUUAGUUUAAUGGCUAACUUUGGAAAAUGACGCAGGGUUCAAAUCCCGAAAAGAGCCACCA